AUCUGUAUACCUUUAAUUUUGGUUUGCCUAAAGCUUUCGUUUUACUAUUUCCUUUGGUGUAUAAGAAUUGACAAGCAGAAGUCUCCUAACACUUUUGUUACUACUUACUAUAGCCCAUCAUUGCUCUGUGAAACUUUGGGUGUGAAGCUUGAAUAUCUAAUAGUGUAUUGAUGCGGGUGCAAGAAUAUAGCUACUCUACUCAUAUAUACUUGAUCAAAAAAAAUAUAGAGAUUCCACACUCAUGUGGAGCUUACUCUUGCUAUAGCUAUGCAGGACGGUUUUUGGAUCAGUAGACCAAUUCAAAGGUGCAUUUAUCAAUGAUGAUCAAAGUGGAGAAGGGUUAUGGUACUGAUUUGUGUUUAAUACAUAGAUCUGUCUGCUAUCCCUACGUGCAAUGAAGAACUAUCUACACUGGGUUCCUACACACAUCCUUGUCAGAUGAAAGAUAUUCAUGCCAAUUUCAAAGUCACUUCGACAAAGAGUUAGCAGGAUCGUGUUAACUGGAAGACAAUCCAUUUAACUGAAUUGAACUUGGUGUUUUUUAAAAAGUCUUGCGGCCAAGACGAUAGAUAUAAGACAUUGUAAGUAGAAUCUUGAUGCUAUCUUCUUUACUCGAGUCUAAUAGCCUGUGGACAAAAACUUGGCUAGAGAUGAUAUAAUUGCGAAUGCUACAGUUAAGUUACAUUGUAGCAUCAGCUACGUAACGACCGUAUUACAUGUUCCCAAGACAAUGCAAAUUAUUGAUGUGACUGCCGCUGGUUUUCCAUGA